rnacentral:rRNA from 1 species
UGCAAGUCGAGCGGAUCAGUAUUUGUAGCAAUACAGGUACUGGUCAGCGGCGCAAGGGUGCGUAACACGUGGGCAACCUGCCCGGAAGUGGGGGACAGCUCGCCGAAAGGCGAAUUAAUACCGCAUGUGACGAGGGGUGGAGUCACCCUGUAGUCAAAGCCGGGGCAACCUGGCGCUUCUGGAUGGGCCCGCGGCCUAUCAGCUAGUUGGCGGGGUAACGGCCCACCAAGGCUAUGACGGGUAGCUGGUCUGAGAGGACGACCAGCCACACUGGAACUGAGACACGGUCCAGACACCUACGGGUGGCAGCAGUCGAGAAUUUUUCUCAAUGGGGGCAACCCUGAAGGAGCGACGCCGCGUGGAGGAUGAAGGUCUUCGGAUCGUAAACUCCUGUCAUUGGUGAACAAGGCCCACGCAGUAACUGGUGUUGGGAUUGAUAGUAGCCGAAGAGGAAGAGACGGCUAACUCUGUGCCAGCAGCCGCGGUAAUACAGAGGUCUCGAGCGUUGUUCGGAUUCAUUGGGCGUAAAGGGUGCGUAGGUGGCGAGGCAAGUCUGGUGUGAAAUCCCGGGGCUCAACCCCGGAACUGCACUGGAUACUGCCCUGCUUGAGUACUGGAGAGGAGAUUGGAAUUUACGGUGUAGCAGUGAAAUGCGUAGAUAUCGUAAGGAAGACCAGUGGCGAAGCGAUCUCUGGACAGUUACUGACACUGAGGCACGAAGGCCAGGGGAGCAAACGGGAUUAGAUACCCCGGUAGUCCUGGCAGUAAACGGUGCCGUUUGGUGGGAGGAAUCGACCCUUCCGUGCCGGAACUAACGCGUUAAACCGCCGCUGGGG